GAUGAACGCUGGCGGCGUGCCUAAUACAUGCAAGUCGAGCGAACAGACGAGGAGCUUGCUCCUCUGACGUUAGCGGCGGACGGGUGAGUAACACGUGGAUAACCUACCUAUAAGACUGGGAUAACUUCGGGAAACCGGAGCUAAUACCGGAUAAUAUAUUGAACCGCAUGGUUCAAUAGUGAAAGACGGUUUUGCUGUCACUUAUAGAUGGAUCCGCGCCGCAUUAGCUAGUUGGUAAGGUAACGGCUUACCAAGGCAACGAUGCGUAGCCGACCUGAGAGGGUGAUCGGCCACACUGGAACUGAGACACGGUCCAGACUCCUACGGGGGGCAGCAGUAGGGAAUCUUCCGCAAUGGUCGAAAGCCUGACGGAGCAACGCCGCGUGAGUGAUGAAGGUCUUCGGAUCGUAAACCUCUGUUAUUAGGGAAGAACAAAUGUGUAAGUAACUAUGCACGUCUUGACGGUACCUAAUCAGAAAGCCACGGCUAACUACGUG
rnacentral:rRNA from 1 species